AGGCUGGACCCUGGACAAGUCUUACUCCAUCUCUAAGCCCUACCCCUCAAGGCUCCGAGACUCUGGAGCACAGACAAGCAAUAUGACUUGGGGGAAAUUAGGUCCUCUUAUAUUUUACAGAUUUAGACAUCCAUCAAGCUCCAGGAGUCCCAGGAAACACAGCUGAUGUUGACUUCAAUUCUUCAAGACAAGAGAGAAAUCCCUUCUUCAUUUCUAAGACCAUUUUUCAGAGGGUCUGAAAUAAGGAAUGAUUAAUGCUGCCAUGAAGACAAGUUUGGAGAACACUACACCACACUGUUUAAGUGAGCACACGUGCAAGGGAGAAGAAUGCAAAACUUAGAUGGUGUUUAGGAAUGUGAAAACAAUAGCCAACUUCUACCAGGUUUCAAGCAUGCUUUUAAAUCUUCACAUGUAUGAGUGUGUUUAAAUCCUGAUAAGGCGCCUGUGACAUCAGGAUGACAAUUUACAGAUGCUGGAACCAGGCACAGAGACAUUCAAGCCUUUUGUUCUCAGCCAUGCAAUGGUGGAACGAGCUGCAGGGACCAGGUAUUCAACUGCCACUCAGAAAUGUAUCUCUCAUGAUGCGAGUAAAGCACACAGUCAGUGGUCAGUAAAUGGUCAUGGCUGUUGUUAUAAGGAGGAGAUACCAUAUUUCUUGUUUAAGCAUAUUCAGUUACAAAAUGACGGUUUCCCUGAGACUCCCAAGCAUACAGAUGAUAAGAAAAUCAGAGCUGAUAAAGACAGACACUUUAAAUAUAACUGGAUAAGGAAUGACGUUUCCUUUUGGAUUUCAUGUUAUAGACUUACAAUGGGGAUGAUGAUCUGUCAUCUCAGUCAAAAAAAGGGCUCUGUUCAAUAAAAAUAGCAGUUCAAGCUAAUUGCUUGGCUUAAUUGUUUAGUUUUAUUUCAAAUAAUCAACCUGUCAGUUCUGGCAGGCUCCAGCCUUAUUCCUAUGGUUUGGCGGUUCUUUUGGGUAGAAAAUGGAGUUAAAAUAUUGAUCUGGUUACUUCAAUUAAUACAUUUGUAAAUGGGUCACAUCACUGAAGGGGCCGAUUCUGCCAUCUAUGCAUUUCUUUUGUUCAGAACUCAUCACUUUAGCUGAUGUUUAUAAAGCCCACUUACACAUUUCCUUGUUGGAUAUUGUCAGAGAGACUUGGGAGGGAGGGAUUUAAUUCUUGCCAUGAUCUUGGGGGCGAGGUGAUAAAAAUGACAGCCAAGUGG